CCUACGGGUGACAGCAGUGAGGAAUAUUUGUCAAUGGACGGAAGUCUGAACCAGCCAUGCCGCGUGCAGGAAGACGGCUCUAUGAGUUGUAAACUGCUUUUGUACAAGGGUAAACCUGAAUACGUGUAUUCAGCUGAAAGUACUGUACGAAUAAGGAUCGGCUAACCCCGGGCCAGCAGCCGUGGUAAUACGGAGGAUCCAAGCGUUGUCCGGAUUUAUUGGGUUGAAAGGGUGCGUAGGCGGAUUGAUAAGUUAGAGGUGAAAUGUCCGAGCUUAACUCGGGAACUGCCUCUAAUACUGUUGGUCUAGAGAGUAGAUGCGGUAGGCGGAAUGUAUGGUGUAGCGGUGAAAUGCUUAGAGAUCAUACAGAACACCGAUUGCGAAGGCAGCUUACCAAUCUAUAUCUGACGUUGAGGCACGAAGGCGUGGGGAGCAAACAGGAUUAGAUACCCUUGUAGUC
rnacentral:rRNA from 1 species